rnacentral:rRNA from 1 species
CCGGCGCACGGGGUGAGUAACACGUAUGGAACCUGCCCUAUGGCAGGGGGAUAAGCGGAAGAAAUUCCGUCUAAUACCGCAUAACACCUUUAGGAGACAUCUUCUUGGGGGUCAAAGGAGGCGACUCCGGCAUAGGAUGGCCAUGCGUCGCAUUAGCUAGUCGGCGGGGUAACGGCCCACCGAGGCGACGAUGCGUAGGGGUUCUGAGAGGAAGGUCCCCCACACUGGUACUGAGACACGGACCAGACUCCUACGGAAGGCAGCAG